AAAUAAAAUAAAAUAAAUUGUUGUUGAAUGGGCUUAAGCCCGCAUAUUUGGCCCAAAUUAGAAAGAAAAUGGGGUAAUCAGAGGGUCACUUAACCAUCUCAUUCAAACCCUAAAAUAGAAAAGAAUGAGGUUUGAGAGGAGUGGAGAGGCACUCUGCUAGGGUUUCACGUGCGGCCUCCCUCUACGAGCGUCGAUAGCGCGGCGGACUGCUACUAUAGCAUUGUCGCAGCUAAGGUGGACGGCCGGAUAUGCAGAGGGAAGGAGGAGAUAGCUAAAAAGGGAAACGAAGAAAGGUAGAGGGUGGUGGCCGCCACCAGAAAUCGUUUCUGACGGUGGUGUGCAUUUCGUCUCGGUCGGGCAUAGUAAAGGUCCACGGAAAAGGCUAAAGGCCGACGAUGCCUCCAUCGAAAAUCGCCUCCGACCGCGGCGCGUGGCGGUGCACGGCGACACUCGCGGUGGCUGGAAAUCGCCUACGGUAGCAGUGCAUAAUGGUGUUCACGGGAAGCACUGUUUUCCUGUUGGUCCAAGCUCAUGUUUUUGGAAGCAUAUAUGGCACAAGCAUGCUCUUGGGGACAUGUUGGUGGCUAGGGCAGAGGAGCUCAGCAAGCUUGUUAGAGAAGAAAUAACCGUACAGAAAAGUGUGGGAUGGUAGAGAUUUUAGGUGCAGAGGAAAAGAUUAUUUUGUUAUUUUCUUGUUUUUUUUUAUUUUCUUUUAUUAUUUUUUCUAUUUAUUAUUUAUGCUUAUUGUGUGUAUUUUUGAGUUUAAAUCUAGUUUGUAAAUGAUUUUUUCUUGAA